rnacentral:rRNA from 1 species
GACGAGCGCUGGCGGCGUGCUUAACACAUGCAAGUCGAACGGAAAGGCCCUGCUUUUGUGGGGUGCUCGAGUGGCGAACGGGUGAGUAACACGUGAGUAACCUGCCCUUGACUUUGGGAUAACUUCAGGAAACUGGGGCUAAUACCGGAUAGGAGCUCCUGCUGCAUGGUGGGGGUUGGAAAGUUUCGGCGGUUGGGGAUGGACUCGCGGCUUAUCAGCUUGUUGGUGGGGUAGUGGCUUACCAAGGCUUUGACGGGUAGCCGGCCUGAGAGGGUGACCGGCCACAUGGGGACUGAGAGAGGGCCCAGACUCCUACGGUAGGCAGCAGUGGGGAAUAUUGCACAAUGGGCGGAAGCCUGAUGCAGCAACGCCGCGGUCGGGAUGACGGCCUGCGGGUUGUAAACCGCUUUCGCCUGUGACGAAGCGUGAGUGACGGUAAUGGGUAAAGAAGCACCGGCUAACUACGUG